rnacentral:rRNA from 1 species
CCCCAGACUCCUACGGGAGGCAGCAGUGGGGAAUAUUGCACAAUGGGGGGAACCCUGAUGCAGCGACGCCGCGUGAGUGAGGAAGUAUUUCGGUAUGUAAAGCUCUAUCAGCAGGGAAGAAAAUGACGGUACCUGACUAAGAAGCCCCGGCUAACUACGUGCCAGCAGCCGCGGUAAUACGUAGGGGGCAAGCGUUAUCCGGAUUUACUGGGUGUAAAGGGAGCGUAGACGGCUAGUCAAGUCAGAAGUGAAAGCCCAGGGCUCAACCUUGGGACUGCUUUUGAAACUGAGUAGCUAGAGUGCAGGAGAGGUAAGCGGAAUUCCUAGUGUAGCGGUGAAAUGCGUAGAUAUUAGGAGGAACACCAGUGGCGAAGGCGGCUUACUGGACUGUAACUGACGUUGAGGCUCGAAAGCGUGGGGAGCAAACAGGAUUAGAUACCCCAGUA